CAGAACUGCCUUCGGUACGGCUCACCCCGCAGGAAGGAUGAAGACACCCUCGUUUCUGUCACCUUAAACACAGUGUGUCAACGGCGCAGCCGGGCCGGCUGCUCCAUGGCAGCCUGCAAAGUAACUGAAACCAAACCGGGUUAGGAGCUCAUGGCUGUCAGCGCUAUCGAUACUAAUAUCUGUUUGUUGUUAUGAGAGAAAAUUGGAUGAAGACUCUGCAAGUCAGGAUUGUUUGUGUGCAAGUCACUGGGCUGCUCGCCCUUUGCAGUUCAUGGCCCAUGAUGUGCCCUCAGCCACCUCUGUCAUCUCCAGCUGAAUAACAGAAGCCUUCCAAUAGGUCCUUAAAGAGAGGUCAAGCCUUGAAAUGCUCACACCUGCGUUUGCAGUCAGGCACCUCAGUGCUCUGAUCAGGAUGCGGUCAUUCUGUUUCCUGCUGCGAUAGAAGUGCUUGUGUAUUUCAGUGGUCACACACCACUGAUGGUUGCAGCAGUGAGGGAGUAUGUAAGGAAGAUCUGAGAAUAUGUGUGUAUAAUUCCAUGGAGGUGAUGGAUACUUUAAAGAAAAAAAAAAUAAAAUCUAAGUUC